UUUGCCAGUACUGUGAAAAAACGCCAUUACCGGAGAAGCCUGGAUGCUAAAACAAACUCUGGAACUGCUUUUUUUGUCGAACACCGUGAGAGCGGACGCUAAUAUUUUCAUCUGACGUUUCCGACGUCUGUCCAUGUAUGAUUUUUCAGAGACCUACAACACUUGUAGAAGCUUUUCUUGCUCUUAACGUGAGGAGUUGUCAACCCGUCUCGUCUGCAGCUCUGCAGUGUUGUACUUGUGUUUUCAAGGUUUACUAGUUCAGCUGCUGCAGCCUGGACAGAAUCACCAGCUCUCACUCGACAAACCAAACAGGUGUCACCUCUUCGUCCAGGAUCUCAGACAGUCUUCGUACAAUGAAGAAGUUCUUUGAGACCAGGACAGAGGCCUCCAGGGCCGCUGAUCUGCUGAUCUCAAUCAAACCGUGAAACGUUUGGAAGUUGGAUAAUGCUCCGCAGCGGAUGAAGCUCAGAGACGAUCACAGACACACACGGGUGGUGCAGAGGUCUUGAUG